GACGAACGCUGGCGGCGUGCUUAACACAUGCAAGUCGAACGGAAAGGCCCCUUUGGGGGUACUCGAGUGGCGAACGGGUGAGUAACACGUGAGUAACCUGCCCUUGACUUCGGGAUAACUUCAGGAAACUGGGGCUAAUACCGGAUAGGAAUCCUUGCUGCAUGGUGGAGGUUGGAAAGCUUCGGCGGUUUUGGAUGGACUCGCGGCUUAUCAGCUUGUUGGUGGGGUAGUGGCUUACCAAGGCUUUGACGGGUAGCCGGCCUGAGAGGGCGACCGGCCACAUUGGGACUGAGAUACGGCCCAGACUCCUACGGGAGGCAGCAGUGGGGAAUAUUGCACAAUGGGCGGAAGCCUGAUGCAGCAACGCCGCGUGCGGGAUGACGGCCUUCGGGUUGUAAACCGCUUUCAGCAGGGGCGAAGCUUGUGGUGACGGUACCUGCAGAAGAAGCACCGGCUAACUACGUG
rnacentral:rRNA from 1 species